rnacentral:rRNA from 1 species
AGCGAACGCUGGCGGCAGGCUUAACACAUGCAAGUCGAGCGGGCACUUCGGUGUCAGCGGCAGACGGGUGAGUAACACGUGGGAACGUACCCUUCGGUUCGGAAUAACGCUGGGAAACUAGCGCUAAUACCGGAUACGCCCUUUUGGGGAAAGGUUUACUGCCGAAGGAUCGGCCCGCGUCUGAUUAGCUAGUUGGUGGGGUAAUGGCCUACCAAGGCGACGAUCAGUAGCUGGUCUGAGAGGAUGAUCAGCCACACUGGGACUGAGACACGGCCCAGACUCCUACGGGAGGCAGCAGUGGGGAAUAUUGGACAAUGGGCGCAAGCCUGAUCCAGCCAUGCCGCGUGAGUGAUGAAGGCCUUAGGGUUGUAAAGCUCUUUUGUCCGGGACGAUAAUGACGGUACCGGAACAAUAAGCCCCGGCUAACUUCGUG